CAUGUGAUGUGUUUCGAUUAGCGCGAGAAAGAUGCGAAAAUGAAUGCUGAGCAGGUGUAACGGAGGCUUGCCUCUGGUGAUUACGUUUUGGUUGCACCAGCAACUAAAGCAAACUCUGAGGUGUGGAAAAGUUUUGACCAUGCUUAUAAUGAGAAUAAUGAGUGAAUAAUGACGCAUCAUCAGUGCGCGCAGGAGAGCGCUGAAGACAUCUACAGUGGAUUAAAUCAUUUUCCUCCACAAACAUGUAGACCUAGCCUAAUCUCUGAAGCAUCAAAAACCACUGGGCUGAAAUUGACUCCUUUGUGGAGCAUCUUGCAGAGAAAUGUAUAAGAGCCCAAUGUUGCGGGUGUCCUUCAUUGUGUUCUCAACUUACGCAACAACAGUUAUGAAACUCACAGAGAACAGAAAUUAAAUUACGAAAGGCUUAAAUAUUUUGAAGAGAGAAAUACCAGGAGGUGAUACAUAUAUGAAUCUUGGACUGAAACAGAAUGCAGUUACUCCUUUAAAACGACUGUGAAUAUUGAGUACUAAUCACUCAAACACCGAUCUUCUAAUCUUUUGUUUCUGCUAUGGCUAAAAUUCCUGCUGUAAACAUCUGCUUUUAAACUGCAGCCAAAUGAGCAGAUAUAUCCUGGAAAUUAUGGGACAGCCAGUGUGAUCAUAGCACUCACGGACGGGGAGUUAAAUGACUCUCAGUUUGUCACAGCACAGCAAGAUGCAAGUACACAAGCCAGUGAUGUCACAACGGAUGUGGCACGUUCUCUGGCAGAUGUGUAAUUGACACUGGCAUUUGCUCAAUAAUAGAGCUGACUGUUUGGUGCCCAUCUACUGUACCUUUGGGAGUUAUCGUAUACUGUGUGGGUGUAAAAGACUUCAACCAGACCCAGUGGUUGUGAGAGGAAAUGGAUUUUAGCAUGCCAGAAACAACAAUCAGGUCCUGUGCAGCUUUAGAGUGAAUGAUACAGCUACACUGAAUGAAAGACCUGUCACUGUUGAAGAUACACUCCUUCUUUGCCCUGCACCAAUCAUAAAUGAGGCUGGAAAGGUGAUAUAUCUGCAUGUUAGCAUGAAUGAGGGUUUGUCCUACAUCACAAGCUCAGUGCACAUCACCACUACUGAAUCUGUCUCCUCUGCUUUCUUUCAUCAGAGGAGUGCGCUUUUGCCAUCAAAUACUCAUGAAGAUGUAUGUGUGUAUGAUGGAACGGUCCUGCUCAUCUCGUUACUGGCUGUUUUCCUAUUGCUGGGUCUGGUGCUGAUGUGGUGGUUCUGGCCUCUUUGCUGUUCAGUGGUCAAGGAAGUGCCCCCACCCCCUCCCCAUGAGUCUGAACCCGAUGAUGAAGAUGGCAUGCCCAAAAAGAAAUGGCCUACAGUAGAUGCAUCCUACUAUGGAGGAAGAGGAGUCGGUGGAAUCAAAAGAAUGGAGGUGAUGCAUUUUCAUGUACACAGUGUGUCUGUUUUGACUUUAUAUUGGGUGUCUUGAUCAUAGGUUAACCUGGGCUGCAGUGGGAUGAAGACCACAAAUGACGAAUGAUGUCAUGAACCCUCAAGACACCAGAACACAUCACUGUGACCUUAAAUGGUCCCUGUCUGCCUGGUGCCAAAAUUAGAUCAUGUGACAUCACAAGACAAGCUGACGCCUGUAGAUUUACUCCUGUAAUUUCCAAAGGUGCAUUGGGGGAACAAGGGCUCCAUGAAGGAAGGAGCUAAACUGGAGAAGCCAAAGAAUGCUGUAAUGAAAAUGCCUGAGGAUGAAUAUGAGCCUUAUGAACCUAACCUCAGAAAUGUCUAUGACCAUCAUAGAAAGUGGUACAGUCCUAUUCAGAUAAACUGGAUGCUUUGUGGGCACUUUUCUGUCGAGGAUACGACCAGGUGUCACUCAUGAGACCUCAGCCCAGAGAUCAGGGGCGAUGCAUCAAUUUUACCCGGGUGAAAGCAGAGGAGCCAAGGUCACCGCCACGCAGCAACUGUCCACUUCCACCUCCGCCGCCCCCUCCAGACCAUCAUCCACUCAUGUGACCUCCGCCCAAAAGACCACCAUCCCGGGGACCCUCCAUCAACCACUCACCCCCAGGACCUCCACCAGCCCAGACAACCCCAGGUCCCCCGGACCCCCUCCUUCAUGACCCCUGCCCUGGAAACAGGCAUUGACAACAAUGGAGGCCCUUCACAGCUACCCUAAAAGCUCAGUCUUAAUUCAAAUUGGUGAUAUUUGCCAAAGCCGCUGGUUUCCCACAGUUUCAGAGUGAUGCAUUUGUUUAUUUGGAGUAAAGAUUUUGAGUUUUUAUUGUAAAUACAGGCACUGAAAGAGGAACUGCAGUAAUGCAUGAAAUUAUUACACAUGCAAAUGAAUCAUUUUUAAGGCACUUAAGAGCACUGAAUGUUGACUCUGGGUAUUUGUAUAUCAGAUUUAGCAUGUUGUUAAUGUUUCAGUUUGUUAUGUAUAAUAUACAUUAUGCCCUGUUUUAAUUUGUAUCAUAAUAUUAAUUGGUCACAUCUUUAAAAGGAAACUCAGAUGUGCUGUGACUGCAGGGCAGUACAAACCACUAAUUUAUUAAUAAGCCUUGGGUUCCUGGUAGGCACUUGAAUAUAAAAUGACAGGGUGUCCAUCACUGAUACAGGUCACUCAUCAUUAUAUUUUAUGUAAUAUAUUUUGUGUUUAACUUUAUGGAUCAUGGUAAUUAAUAGUAGUCCUACACAGCAAGAAAACAUUAAUGUAAUAAAUAUUAUGUUCAUGGGUUGGACUCUAGGUGUUCA